GCUGGGGUAGCUCAGUUGGUAGAGCAUGAGACCCUUAAUCACAGGAUUGUGAGUUCAAGCUCCAUGUGCUGGGCA